AUUGAACGCUGGCGGAAUGCUUUACACAUGCAAGUCGAACGGCAGCACGGACUUCGGUCUGGUGGCGAGUGGCGAACGGGUGAGUAAUGUAUCGGAACGUGCCCAGUCGUAGGGGAUAACGUAGUGAAAAUUACGCUAAUACCGCAUACGAUCUAUGGAUGAAAGUGGGGGAUCGCAAGACCUCAUGCUCCUGGAGCGGCCGAUAUCUGAUUAGCUAGUUGGUAGGGUAAAAGCCUACCAAGGCGACGAUCAGUAGCUGGUUUGAGAGAACGACCAGCCACACUGGGACUGAGACACGGCCCAGACUCCUACGGGAGGCAGCAGUGGGGAAUUUUGGACAAUGGGGGCAACCCUGAUCCAGCAAUGCCGCGUGUGUGAAGAAGGCCUUCGGGUUGUAAAGCACUUUUGGCGGGAACGAAACGGUUCGGGCUAAUAUCCUGGACUAAUGACGGUACCCGCAGAAUAAGCACCGGCUAACUACGUGCCAGCAGCCGCAGUAA
rnacentral:rRNA from 1 species